rnacentral:rRNA from 1 species
UGAGUAACGCGUAGGAACCUGUCCUUUUGUGGGGGAUACCAGUGGGAAACCGCUGCUAAUACCGCAUGAGGUUGCGAGAGGAGACUCUUGUAAAGAAAGGCGAAAGCCGCAGAAGGAGGGGCCUGCGUCCGAUUAGCUAGUUGGUGUGGUAACGGCAUACCAAGGCGACGAUCGGUAGCUGGUCUGAGAGGAUGGUCAGCCACACUGGGACUGAGACACGGCCCAG